AUGGUAGGAUAGAGGCCUACCAUGGUUUUAACGGGUAACGGGGAAUUAGGGUUCGAUUCCGGAGAGGGAGCCUGAGAAACGGCUACCACAUCCAAGGAAGGCAGCAGGCGCGCAAAUUACCCAAUCCCGACACGGGGAGGUAGUGACAAUAAAUAACAAUAUGGGGCUCUUACGAGUCUUGUAAUUGGAAUGAGUACAAUUUAAAUCUCUUAACGAGGAACAAUUGGAGGGCAAGUCUGGUGCCAGCAGCCGCGGUAAUUCCAGCUCCAAUAGCGUAUAUUAAAGUUGUUGCAGUUAAAAAGCUCGUAGUUGAAUUUCGGGAUUUAUCCGUCGGUCGGGCUUUUGGGUUUGUACUGGCGUGAUGGAUUCCUACCUUCUGAAUAACCGGCAUGUCAUUAAUUUGGUGCGCCGGGGAAGCAGGACUGUUACCUUGAAAAAAUUAGAGUGCUUAAAGCAGGCUUAUGCCUGAAUACAUUAGCAUGGAAUAAUGAAAUAGGACGGCAUGGUUCUAUUUUGUUGGUUUCUAGGAUCACCGUAAUGAUUAAUAGGGAUAGUUGGGGGCAUUAGUAUUCAAUUGUCAGAGGUGAAAUUCUUGGAUUUAUUGAAGACUAACUUCUGCGAAAGCAUUUGCCAAGGAUGUUUUCAUUAAUCAAGAACGAAAGUUAGGGGAUCGAAGACGAUCAGAUACCGUCGUAGUCUUAACCAUAAACCAUGCCGACUAGGGAUCGGACGAUGUUAAUUUUUUAAUGACUCGUUCGGCGCCUUACGGGAAACCAAAGUGUUUGGG
rnacentral:rRNA from 1 species